CAGGGCCUCCCCUGCGGCAUAGUGUCGGGGGCUGAGCCCCAGAUCCGAGCUCGCGCCGACACCCACCGCCCGCGGGAAUCCGGGUCCUCCAGCGCCGAAGCCGCAGAGCCCCUUGUGUGUCCCGGCCAUUUCCUGGUGGAGCGACCCCAUUACGUUAGAGAUGAAAGGCUGGGGCUGGCCGGCCCUACUUCUGGGGGCCCUGCUGGGAACUGCCUGGGCUCGGACGGCCCAGGAUCUACACUGUGGAGCUUGCAGGGCUCUGGUGGAUGAACUAGAGUGGGAAAUUGCCCAGGUGGAUCCCAAGAAGACCAUCCAGAUGGGCUCUUUCCGAAUCAAUCCGGAUGGCAGCCAGUCAGUGGUGGAGGUGCCUUAUGCUCGCUCAGAGGCCCACCUCACGGAGCUGCUAGAGGAAGUAUGUGACCGGAUGAAGGAGUACGGGGAACAGAUGGACCCUACCACCCACCGCAACAUUUACAUACGUGUAGUGAACCGGAAUGGAGAACCCAAAGACCUGAAUCUAGAGGGCAUCCGAAUUGAUUCAGACAUCCGUGGCACCCUCAAGUUUGCGUGUGAGACCAUUGUGGAGGAAUAUGAGGAUGAACUCAUUGAAUUCUUUUCCCGAGAGGCUGACAAUGUGAAAGACAAACUUUGUAGCAAGCGAACAGAUUUAUGUGACCAUGCCCUGCACAUACCGCAUGAUGAGCUGUGAAUCACUGGCGCGGGCCCCAACUGACAAGCUUGAUGGAUCACCCCCAGGAGGGGAAAAGAUGGAGGGAUCAACAAGAGCAUUCAGGAAGGGGAAAAUGGAUGUGAUCAACUCAGCUGAAAAGUAAGGGCUUUUUCAGAUAGGGAGAAAUUAGGUAAGGAAUGUUAUUUAAUGAAAGGCCUUAUUUGAUGGCCUACGUUUUUAGAUUUGGUGCCAACAGCAACACUAAAGUAUACCCUUUUCAUCUUCAUCACUAGCUAUUGUCAAUCUAGACUAUAAGUCUGUGCUCACUCUCUGUAUGUAGAGAUUCUGUACUGGGGCAUAGUGAUGAAAACAAGGAUACCUUCUUUGAGGAGCUUUUUAAAUACCUGAUUCGGGGAUG